GGUAUUUCAGACUACAAAAGGUGCUGAGGUCUCAUGCUUGAGAGAAAUGUAUCUCCCAGAUUUAGCCCUAAUCUUGCUGUAUUAUGCAUUUGAUUUGGCACGGCUGAUUACCCCGGAGUGGUGUCUGCUUGUUCAGCAUUCCUGCGUCGCACAAGGAGGUGCCGAGUCCCCAUGGUACAGCCCGGCAGCAGGCGCUGGGACUCGCUGAGCCAGAUCGGCCAGAAUGGGCGAGCUGCAGCAGGAGGUGAAGGUUGCAACCACACCGGGGUUUCUCUCACAUCCUCUCCACUUGACACCGGGCAGGGACAAGCACAGACGCACACAAGGCUGUAUGGGAGUGUGGAGGGCGGCUAUGGGAGAUAGCCACAGGGACACCCACGUGGGGCCGGCUGAGAGACACCACCUCCCAGGAGAUACCUACAACUAAGGCAGCUGGCAUCAACAGAAAGGCUGCAAUUAUAACAACAACAACAAAAUCUUAAAAAAUGACCUGCUUUGCCUAACAAAUGCUUUCUAAAUCUUAGAAAUCUUACGGAGUUGGAAAUGGGUUUCCCAGCAGCAGAAGGGGAGUCUUUUGCACAUCUGUAAUAAAGACAUUAUAAAUACAAAAAGUUUGGUCUGUAUUCCCACUUAGAGCACACAUCAGGAGUGGGAAUGAGUGUGACUCCAAAAGCGAUUAUACUCACUGGAAACAUACUUAGCAUCACCACUGCUCUGGUAAGAGUCUCCACGCUGUUUUGCAUGAAUCUUUUAUCAGCUCUUUAUGAAAACUUCACGUUUUGGUCAAAAGUUAUGUAGUUGUUCUGCGAUCC